rnacentral:rRNA from 1 species
GGGUUGUGAGGUUAAGCGACUAAGCGUACACGGUGGAUGCCCUGGCAGUCAGAGGCGAUGAAGGACGUGCUAAUCUGCGAUAAGCGUCGGUAAGGUGAUAUGAACCGUUAUAACCGGCGAUUUCCGAAUGGGGAAACCCAGUGUGUUUCGACACACUAUCAUUAACUGAAUCCAUAGGUUAAUGAGGCGAACCGGGGGAACUGAAACAUCUAAGUACCCCGAGGAAAAGAAAUCAACCGAGAUUCCCCCAGUAGCGGCGAGCGAACGGGGAGGAGCCCAGAGCCUGAAUCAGUGUGUGUGUUAGUGGAAGCGUCUGGAAAGGCGCGCGAUACAGGGUGACAGCCCCGUACACAAAAAUGCACAUGCUGUGAGCUCGAUGAGUAGGGCGGGACACGUGGUAUCCUGUCUGAAUAUGGGGGGACCAUCCUCCAAGGCUAAAUACUCCUGACUGACCGAUAGUGAACCAGUACCGUGAGGGAAAGGCGAAAAGAACCCCGGCGAGGGGAGUGAAAAAGAACCUGAAACCGUGUACGUACAAGCAGUGGGAGCACGCUUAGGCGUGUGACUGCGUACCUUUUGUAUAAUGGGUCAGCGACUUAUAUUCUGUAGCAAGGUUAACCGAAUAGGGGAGCCGAAGGGAAACCGAGUCUUAACUGGGCGUUAAGUUGCAGGGUAUAGACCCGAAACCCGGUGAUCUAGCCAUGGGCAGGUUGAAGGUUGGGUAACACUAACUGGAGGACCGAACCGACUAAUGUUGAAAAAUUAGCGGAUGACUUGUGGCUGGGGGUGAAAGGCCAAUCAAACCGGGAGAUAGCUGGUUCUCCCCGAAAGCUAUUUAGGUAGCGCCUCGUGAAUUCAUCUCCGGGGGUAGAGCACUGUUUCGGCAAGGGGGUCAUCCCGACUUACCAACCCGAUGCAAACUGCGAAUACCGGAGAAUGUUAUCACGGGAGACACACGGCGGGUGCUAACGUCCGUCGUGAAGAGGGAAACAACCCAGACCGCCAGCUAAGGUCCCAAAGUCAUGGUUAAGUGGGAAACGAUGUGGGAAGGCCCAGACAGCCAGGAUGUUGGCUUAGAAGCAGCCAUCAUUUAAAGAAAGCGUAAUAGCUCACUGGUCGAGUCGGCCUGCGCGGAAGAUGUAACGGGGCUAAACCAUGCACCGAAGCUGCGGCAGCGACACUGUGUGUUGUUGGGUAGGGGAGCGUUCUGUAAGCCUGUGAAGGUGUGCUGUGAGGCAUGCUGGAGGUAUCAGAAGUGCGAAUGCUGACAUAAGUAACGAUAAAGCGGGUGAAAAGCCCGCUCGCCGGAAGACCAAGGGUUCCUGUCCAACGUUAAUCGGGGCAGGGUGAGUCGACCCCUAAGGCGAGGCCGAAAGGCGUAGUCGAUGGGAAACAGGUUAAUAUUCCUGUACUUGGUGUUACUGCGAAGGGGGGACGGAGAAGGCUAUGUUGGCCGGGCGACGGUUGUCCCGGUUUAAGCGUGUAGGCUGGUUUUCCAGGCAAAUCCGGAAAAUCAAGGCUGAGGCGUGAUGACGAGGCACUACGGUGCUGAAGCAACAAAUGCCCUGCUUCCAGGAAAAGCCUCUAAGCAUCAGGUAACAUCAAAUCGUACCCCAAACCGACACAGGUGGUCAGGUAGAGAAUACCAAGGCGCUUGAGAGAACUCGGGUGAAGGAACUAGGCAAAAUGGUGCCGUAACUUCGGGAGAAGGCACGCUGAUAUGUAGGUGAAGUCCCUCGCGGAUGGAGCUGAAAUCAGUCGAAGAUACCAGCUGGCUGCAACUGUUUAUUAAAAACACAGCACUGUGCAAACACGAAAGUGGACGUAUACGGUGUGACGCCUGCCCGGUGCCGGAAGGUUAAUUGAUGGGGUUAGCGCAAGCGAAGCUCUUGAUCGAAGCCCCGGUAAACGGCGGCCGUAACUAUAACGGUCCUAAGGUAGCGAAAUUCCUUGUCGGGUAAGUUCCGACCUGCACGAAUGGCGUAAUGAUGGCCAGGCUGUCUCCACCCGAGACUCAGUGAAAUUGAACUCGCUGUGAAGAUGCAGUGUACCCGCGGCAAGACGGAAAGACCCCGUGAACCUUUACUAUAGCUUGACACUGAACAUUGAGCCUUGAUGUGUAGGAUAGGUGGGAGGCUUUGAAGUGUGGACGCCAGUCUGCAUGGAGCCGACCUUGAAAUACCACCCUUUAAUGUUUGAUGUUCUAACGUUGACCCGUAAUCCGGGUUGCGGACAGUGUCUGGUGGGUAGUUUGACUGGGGCGGUCUCCUCCUAAAGAGUAACGGAGGAGCACGAAGGUUGGCUAAUCCUGGUCGGACAUCAGGAGGUUAGUGCAAUGGCAUAAGCCAGCUUGACUGCGAGCGUGACGGCGCGAGCAGGUGCGAAAGCAGGUCAUAGUGAUCCGGUGGUUCUGAAUGGAAGGGCCAUCGCUCAACGGAUAAAAGGUACUCCGGGGAUAACAGGCUGAUACCGCCCAAGAGUUCAUAUCGACGGCGGUGUUUGGCACCUCGAUGUCGGCUCAUCACAUCCUGGGGCUGAAGUAGGUCCCAAGGGUAUGGCUGUUCGCCAUUUAAAGUGGUACGCGAGCUGGGUUUAGAACGUCGUGAGACAGUUCGGUCCCUAUCUGCCGUGGGCGCUGGAGAACUGAGGGGGGCUGCUCCUAGUACGAGAGGACCGGAGUGGACGCAUCACUGGUGUUCGGGUUGUCAUGCCAAUGGCACUGCCCGGUAGCUAAAUGCGGAAGAGAUAAGUGCUGAAAGCAUCUAAGCACGAAACUUGCCCCGAGAUGAGUUCUCCCUGACCCUUUAAGGGUCCUGAAGGAACGUUGAAGACGACGACGUUGAUAGGCCGGGUGUGUAAGCGCAGCGAUGCGUUGAGCUAACCGGUACUAAUGAACCGUGAGGCUUAACCUUACAACGCCGAAGGUGUUU